rnacentral:ncRNA from 1 species
AUAAAUAAUAAUUAGAUAUAAGUUAAUUAAUUCUAAGUUAUAGAGAAAUUCUAUUUUAAAAAAAAUACUUAUAUUUUAUAUUAAAAAAAGGAACUAAUUAAUAUACUAAUAUUUAGAUAUAGUUUUUAUAUAAUAAUAUAACUAAAUAUAGAAAUAAUAGUAAGAACUUUAAGUAGAAUUCUUUUUUCUUCUUAAUAGUCUAUUACUUUAAAAUUAGUUUAUCUAGAGCUAGGAUUUAAUAACUAGAAAAACCUAGUAUUUCUAUUAAGUCUAAUAUAUUUUUAAUAUUUUUUAACAAUCUAUAGGAAGGAAUAAUUUUUAUAUUAAAUUAUAUUUAUAAUUAUAAUAGAAUUCUUAACUAAAUAACUUCUAGUUAAUAGAAUAAUAUAAAUAA